rnacentral:rRNA from 1 species
GACUCCUUCGGGGGUCAGUGGCGAACGGGUUGCGUAACACGUUGUAGCAACCUGCCUGCUGGUGGGGGAUAACCCGGGGGAACCCGGGCUAAUACCGCAUGAGUUCUUCCGGCCGAUUGGCUGGGAGAGGAAAGCUCCUGCAAGGGAGCGCCAGCAGAGGGGCUCGCGGCGUAUCAGGUAGUUGGUGGGGUAACGGCCCACCAAGCCGACGACGCGUAGCCGAUCUGAGAGGAUGAUCGGCCACAUUGGGACUGAGAUACGGCCCAGACUCCUACGGGAGGCAGCAGUGGGGAAUCUUGCGCAAUGGGCGAAAGCCUGACGCAGCGACGCCGCGUGCGGGAGGAAGCUCUUCGGGGUGUAAACCGCUGUCAGAGGGGAAGAAAUGCGCGGGGAGGAAAUGCUCCGCGUUUGACGGUACCCUCAGAGGAAGCACCGGCUAACUCUGUGCCAGCAGCCGCGGUAAUACAGAGGGUGCGAGCGUUGUUCGGAAUUACUGGGCGUAAAGCGCGCGCAGGCGGCUCUUUAAGUCUGUCGGUCAAACGCCGGGGCUUAACCCCGUGCUCGCCGGAGAUACUGGAGGGCUGGAGACAUGUAGAGGCAAGCGGAAUUCCGGGUGUAGCGGUGGAAUGCGUAGAGAUCCGGAAGAACACCGGAGGCGAAGGCGGCUUGCUGGACAUGGUCUGACGCUGAGGCGCGAAAGCGUGGGGAGCGAACAGGAUUAGAUACCCUGGUAGUCCACGCCGUAAACGAUGGGCACUAGACGCGGGGGGGAUCGACCCUCUCCGUGUCGAAGCUAACGCGAUAAGUGCCCCGCCUGGGGGAGUACGGCCGCAAGGCUGAAACUCAAAGGAAUUGACGGGGGCCCGCACAAGCGGUGGAGCAUGUGGUUUAAUUCGAAGCA